rnacentral:pre_miRNA from 14 species
UUAUAACUAUUGUGUAAUAAAAGAAUAAGGAGAUUGAAAGACCCCCAGAGCGGGGAGACCCUCACUCAAGUCUCGGGAUGAUGCGACCCCCCAAGAACUCACGUGAGACC